rnacentral:lncRNA from 1 species
UGACAGUAAUAUCUUCCUUAAAAGUAAGCACCAUUGGAUUAUGAUCAGAGAUUAAAGGAGGGUCAUACACAGUCUGUACAUAACUCCAUUUAAUCAUCCAGUCAUAAUUACCAAAUAUUCUGUCUAAUCUACUACAAACUCUCUCAUUACCAGUCUGUUUAUUAGUCCAUGUGAAGAAGUUCCCUUUCCAAGGAAGUUCUGAUAAUUCAGCCAGUUGAAUGCAUUGAAUGAAAUCCAGAGUCUCAGCUUGCU